rnacentral:rRNA from 1 species
GACGAACGCUGGCGGCGUGCUUAACACAUGCAAGUCGAACGGAAAGGCCUGCUUUCCCUUGUGGAUUGCGGGUACUCGAGUGGCGAACGGGUGAGUAACCCGUGAGUGAUCUGCCCCCAACUUGGGUAUAAGCCUGGGAAACUGGGUCUAAUUCCCGAUAGGACUGCAGGGUGGUGCCUGUGGUGGAAAACGAUUUUCUAGUGGUUGGGGAUGAGCUCGCGGCCUAUCAGCUUGUUGGUGGGGUAAUGGCCUACCAAGGCGGCGACGGGUAGCCGGCCUGAGAGGGUGGACGGCCACAUUGGGACUGAGAUACGGCCCAGACUCCUACGGGAGGCAGCAGUGGGGAAUAUUGCACAAUGGGCGGAAGCCUGAUGCAGCGACGCCGCGUGGGGGAUGACGGCCUUCGGGUUGUAAACUCCUUUCGACCGCGAGGAAGCCACCUGGUUGGAAGGGUGGUGACGGUAGUGGUAGAAGAAGCACCGGCUAACUACGUG